CAGUCGCCACGGUAAUACGAAGGGUGCAAGCGUUACUCGGAAUUACUGGGCGUAAAGCGUGCGUAGGUGGUGGUUUAAGUCCGUUGUGAAAGCCCUGGGCUCAACCUGGGAAUUGCAGUUGAUACCGGAUCACUAGAGUGUGGUAGAGGAUAGUGGAAUUUCCGGUGUAGCAGUGAAAUGCGUAGAUAUGCGGAGGAACACCGAUGGCGAAGGCAAUCCCCUGGACCUGUACUGACGCUCAUGCACGAAAGCGUGGGGAGCAAACAGGAUUAGAUACCCCAGUAGUCCCUGUCUCUUAUAA
rnacentral:rRNA from 1 species